GGCUCUGGGCUGAGUUCCUGGUGUUAUAUUCUUUUUACUCUGAGCUUCCUAGUGAUCAAGGCCUAGAUGGAAACAGGAUGGAUUCUGUAGUUCUUGGUUGCUGGGAGGAGGAGGCCCAGUGUCUUUCAUUUUCUUGAUGCUGCAUUCUGAGGGAGGUUUGCGGAUCUUGAGUAAUCUAGUUGGCUGGGCUGUGCUGGGAUAUGGUCAUCUGCAAGCAGCCGCUUCUCCUAUCAGCUUCGAUCAAAGCUGAAGGCGUCAGCUCAGAUCCUAUCUGGAGAUUUUUCUGAGAAGGGGCGGGUGGAACUUGAGCCUGCAAGCUGAGGUGUGGCCCAGACCCUAGCACUCCUUUCCUGGUUGUUCCGUAGCACGAUGGCCUGGUGUGGCCCUCAGAGCCCUCUCGAGUGUCCCGGGCAGUGCCUGAGGUCCGGAUGGGCAGUGUAUCACUGAUCCCUCUACGCGGCAGUGAGAAUGAGAUGCGCCGGAGCGUGGCAGCCUUCACUGCCGACCCCCUUUCCGUAAGUGUCUCUGGUCCCCGUGGGCAAGGCUGGGUGGGACCUGGCUGGAUGCCUGCCUGCACUUCACUAAUGUCUCUCAGAGCCUGUCUAGUCCCUUUACUAUGUUUCUGGGGCCCCCUCUGUCUGGGCCUGGGAAUCCCGACUGCUGAUAUUUCUGUAUCCACUUCAUUGCUAGCUGUUCCCUUUUAUUACCACAAAGCACUGAU
rnacentral:lncRNA from 1 species